GAAGAUGAGGAGUGCUUGCACAAAUUGAUCAAUGGGAUGACUUAGUGGCGGACGGGUGAGUAACGCGGUGGGUAACCUGCCUUAUACAGGGGGAUAACAGUUAGAAAUGACUGCUAAUACCGCAUAAGCGCACAGUAUCGCAUGAUACAGUGUGAAAAAGCCGAGACGGUAUAAGAUGGACCCGCGUCUGAUUAGCCAGUUGGGCAGGGUAACGGCCUACCAAAGCAACGAUCAGUAGCCGGCCUGAGAGGGUGAACGGCCACAUUGGGGACUGAGACACGGCCCAAACUCCUACGGGAGGCAGCAGUGGGGGAUAUUGCACAAUGGGGGAAACCCUGAUGCAGCCGACGCCGCGUGAGUGAUGAAGUAUUUCGGUAUGUAAAACUCUAUCAGCAGGGAAGAAGAUGACGGUACCUGACUAAGAAGCUCCGGCUAAAUACGUGCCAGCCGCCGC
rnacentral:rRNA from 1 species